CUUCAGGUGAUUGGCCCACCUCAGCCUCCCAAAGUGCUGGGAUUACAGGCGUGAGACACCGCACUUGGCCAUGAAGGAGCUUUUUUACUGUGCAAAAUGAAACAAAACAGCAAGGAGAAAAGUCCCCUGAUUUCCAUCGUAAUGCUUCUCAAUCACACUUAGCAUAGCAGCAACAAAACAGAACCAUAUCUAUCUAAUCUUAUUGCUCAUAGUUGUUAAAUACCAAAUCUCAAUCAGCAAUUUUAGAGACGGAUCCUCCAAUGCUUGUUGUUCUCAGUGUUUCACAAGCAAACGGACAGAAAUCGGGAAGGACACAGGAGAAGAAUAAGGUAAAAUCCCUAAGACCAGUUAAAUGAAGUCUCCUGCAAAGGACAGUGAAACGGAGACAGCAACCAAGACAAGGAGGACGAGGCAGAUUAAUAUCAAGAGCAUAGCUUGCGGUGUGAAACCUAUUUUUUAGCCGAGAGGGACUUCACUGAGGGGCCUCUAACCCCCUAAAUCUUAGAAGGGACUCUAACCCUCCUAGGUUGGGCCUCUAACCCGAGGUCAAGCAUCCUUGCCUUUUAUUAAGAGGGGCCUCUAACCCACUCUCUUUUAGGAAAGACUCUUAACUCCACUACGUUGGGUCUCUAACCCAAUCCCAUUCUUUACCCGGGCACUCCACCCCUUACCCAAAGUCGUCCAAUCAGUGCUGCAAUCUACUUCCUUUGGGUUGGGUGAGUUUCUUCAGUAUCCUCCCUUCCGUCGUUCGCCAGAAAUAUGUUAUAGGGCCCCAACACUUACCCAAAGCACUACAGUCCCAUCUGUGGUCGCCAGAAAUAUGUCACAGGAAAAGGGCCCCGAUCCAGACCCCAAGAGAGGGUUCUUGGAUCUCGCGCAAGAAAUAAUUCAGGGCAAGUCCGCGGUGCAAAAUAAAAGCAAGUUUAUUAAGAAAGUAAAGUGAAAGAACAGCUACUCCAAAGACAGAGUAGGACGUUCCGGAAACUAAGAGAAGGAAGGUAUCCACCCUAGGUACAAUGCUUGUAUACAUGGGGAGAGGUGCUCUGCUACAAGGGUUUGUGAUAAAGGAUUAAUUUUAAUUAUUAUAUUGUGCAAGAAUCCCUAUUACUAUCUUUAAAGCAAAAUUAGGAACGCCUUUGUUCUCCAGAUAUCCAGCUAUCUGGACACUCGGGUCUCCUUAGUAAACAUUAAUUUGUUCCCUUAACCGUAAACAUCUGACAGCUAGGAAUAUCCUUCAGAGAAUGCACGCCCGUAAAUCCCGGCCUCAUUUUUCUAGCCCUCACUCAAAAUGGGGUCGCUUCGGGUUCCAACGCCUCUGACAGUCAUACUACAUAUGAUUCAGCCACGUUGAUGGAAAUAGUAGACUGGAUAGUGACGUACCCGCAGAAAACGAGUGCAACAUCUGUCAUACAGAUCUGACUGCAGUCAGAUUCUGCACAGUUAAGUGGAGGCGGCAAACUUGAAUGCAACCAUCUUCAUACCGCAUCCCACAAAGCCACGUAAAUCGAAAAGCAGUCCGGCUCUGGAUAGUGAAACACAUGCGGCAACCUUGAAUAGAAAAAUGUUUAGACUGCCUUGGAUGGAGACACGUAAAUGAAAAAGCAGUCCCACUUGGGAUAGUGAAGUACGGGCGCUGAACUUAAAUGGAACAAUCUGCAUAUUGUAUGUGAGUAAACCAAGUAAUAGCAAAGAGUAGUCAGAUUACGGAGAAUGAUGGAGACCGAUGUGAGUGCAGUAACCUUUAGCUCAAUGAUCGUCACGCCGCAACCAAGUGAAACCGAAAGCAACUAAGCUCUCCAAAGCACAGGCGGCCAAUGUAAAAACAGAGGCGGCGUUGUGAGCCUUAUGGCGUAAACGGCGUGAAGCAGGUUCGGAGACUGUGGAUGUGAGCCUUAAUAGCGUAAAUGGCGUAAAGCAGGCUCUGGGACUGUCGAUGCGAGCCUUAUGGCGUAAAGGGCGUUGGGACUGUCGAUGCGAGCCUUACGGAGUAAACGGCGUUGUGAGCCUUACGGCACAAACGGCGUAAAACAGGCUCGAAGACUGUUGACGUGAGCCUUACGGCGUAAAUGGCGUAAAACAGGCUCGAAGACUGUCGACGUGAGCCUUACGGCGUUUAUCGCGUAGAGGGCGUUGGGAGGAUGAUGGCGUUUAUGGUGUAAAGGGCGUAAAGCAGGCUCUGGGACUGUGGAUGCGGGCCCUGUGGCGUACACGGCGUUGUGAGCCUUACGGCACAAACGGCGUAAAACAGGCUCGAAGACUGUCGACGUGAGCGUACAGAGCGUUUGUGGCGUACAGAGCAUUUAUGGCGUACAGUUCCGUUUAUGGCGUACAGAGCGUUGCGAGGAUGAUGACAUUUAUGGCGUAAAGGGCGUUGGGAGCCUUACUGCGUAAAUGGAGUAGACUAGGCUCGGAAGAGGUAAACCUAUCGUCCACUGCACUCCUUCUCCACACAUCCUCAGCUCAGGGUGACAGAUAUCACCCUCAAUAACUUUCUCUCCUACGUUAAAACUGUGUAUCUUUAUCCAAAUUUUAAAACUUGCCUAAGUAAUAUUGUUACUA